GCCUAGCCCUAAAUCUUGGCACUUCCCCUAGUAAAGUGUCCGCYUGAGAACUACKAGCACAAACGCUUAAAACUCUAAGGACUUGGCGGUGCCCCAAACCCACCUAGAGGAGCCUGUUCUAUAAUCGAUAACCCACGAUUCACCCGACCACCCCUUGCCAAAACAGCCUACAUACCGCCGUCGUCAGCCCACCUUAGUGAAAGGACAACAGUGAGCACAAUAGUCUCGCCCACUAACAAGACAGGUCAAGGUAUAGCUBAUGGGGUGGAAGAAAUGGGCUACAUUUUCUGAAACAGAAAACUUAACGAAAGGGAACGUGAAACCGUCCCCAAAAGGCGGAUUUAGCAGUAAAGCGGGACAAUAGAGCCCCCUUUAAACCGGCCCUGGGGCACGU
rnacentral:rRNA from 1 species